rnacentral:tRNA from 1 species
GGGGGUAACGCUCAGUGGUAGAGCACAUGCUUAGCUUGCACGAGGUCCUGGGUUCAAUCCCCAGCACUUCCA